rnacentral:rRNA from 1 species
AUUGAACGCUGGCGGCAGGCCUAACACAUGCAAGUCGAACGAGUGGCGGACGGGUGAGUAAUGUCUGGGAAACUGCCUGAUGGAGGGGGAUAACUACUGGAAACGGUAGCUAAUACCGCAUACCAUCAGAUGUGCCCAGAUGGGCUUAGCUUGUUGGUGGGGUAACGGCUCACAAAGGCGACGAUCCCUAGCCGGUCGGGGAGGGUGACGAGCCACCCUGGAACUGAGACACGGGCCAGACGCCUAAGGGAGGCAGCAGAGGGGAAUAUUGGACAAUGGGCGCAAGCCGGAUGCAGCCAUGCCGCGGGUAUGAAGAAGGCCUUCGGGUUGUAAAGUACGUUCAGCGGGGAGGCGUUACCCGCAGAGGAAGCACCGGCUAACUACGUGCCAGCAGCCGCGGUAAUAC